rnacentral:rRNA from 1 species
AUGUAUCAAUCAAUCUGCCACGGAAUCAAGCUAUCAAAGCCUCCACCGGCAACCAGCGAAACCCAUAAUAACCCUACCGAUAUCGCCAUGGCUGAGGGUUGGUGGAAGAGGGCCAGAGCAACGUUGGCCAAACUCCCCCAAAUGGCGCGCGUCAUCCACGACAUGAGGGCCGGUGGUUGCAUCAAGGAGUUUGAGAAGGCGCUGGAGCAGUGCGAGGAAGCCAUGGCCGACAAGAAGCCCAAAGAGGGCGUCUCGUGCGCUAAGGCAACGGCGGCGCUGCGUAAGUGCAUGGAAGGCAAGGACGUCUUGGCGAAGCACCUCGUCGCCUUGGAUGAGGGCAUCAUGGAGGACGAGUGGCGGCGGUGGGAUCCUUAUGUGCAGAAGAAGCUGAAGCUGGACCCGAGGUAUAGGUGGUGGACCGGCAUGAAGAAGAGUGAAGAAGAGUAG